AGGUCAUCGAGUAGCCGACUUGGAAUUAAUUUACACCACACAAGGUUUCUUGGACUCGACCUUUUUGCGUAUUCGGGACCGUCAUCGAAGUCAUCACACCGGCUAACAACUUUUGGUAUUUUCUUCGUAGUUGGUCUAGGAGUACAUUUCGGCAUGUAUAGACUGUUAUGCUUUGUUGAAAUUUGGUAUGUAAACUUUUAGCCAUGCGAAAAUAGCGUAAAUGUUCUGUUGGAAUUGGUUUUGUGAUGUUUGGACACAAAUCAUGGUUAUAAUUUGGGACAUGCAUGAUGAAUUAUUAGUUAAAUCAAGGAAAA